GAUGAACGCUGACAGAAUGCUUAACACAUGCAAGUCUUUGGCGAAGCUGUGCUUGCACAGCCUAGCCAAGGCGGACGGGUGAGUAACGCGUAAGGAACUUGCCCUGCAGUCAGGGAUAACAGACGGAAACGACUGAUAAGACCUGGUAAAGUCAGGCGGACUCAUGUCCAGCCUGAUGAAAAGAGAUGCUGCAGGAGAGCCUUGCGUCCUAUUAGCUUGUUGGUGGGGUAACGGCCCACCAAGGCGAUGAUAGGUAGCCGGCCUGAGAGGGUGGACGGCCACAAGGGGACUGAGAUACGGCCCUUACUCCUACGGGAGGCAGCAGUGGGGAAUAUUGGACAAUGGGGGCAACCCUGAUCCAGCAAUUCUGUGUGCACGAUGAAGGUUUUCGGAUUGUAAAGUGCUUUCAGCAGGGAAGAAAAAAAUGACGGUACCUGUAGAAGAAGCGACGGCUAAAUACGUG
rnacentral:rRNA from 1 species